CUGCGCGUUGAGCAGCACGGCCUUGGCCGCCUGCUGAUCGGCAUUUGCCUGCAACAGCGCGGCCUUGGCGGCAUCGGUCUGGGCCUGGAUGCGGAUGAGCGUUUCUUUUUGCGUGGC
rnacentral:tRNA from 1 species